rnacentral:ncRNA from 1 species
ACUGACGCUUCAUAAUGUUCAGCGAAUACUUAGCGGUGCCUCCCGGCAGGAAACUACGGGAUGAGCAGGGGGUUAACUCAGGGAAACCUUCUCGGUGGGCAAAUGGCCCCCGAUGGCAAUCCUGAGCCAAGCCGGGGAACGGUCAUGAUAGUACCCGGAAGGUGCAGAGACUAGGAGGUGAGCAGACCAUGCAAUACGCCUCCACCAACGCCCCCCACCUACGUUUGCCUCGGCAAAUACGGUGAUGAGAUAGUCCAACUACUCCGGGAAACCGGAGG